AAUGCAUAAAGGGUGCUUUUUUUUUUUUAAUUUGGAAUGAUACUCCUCCAAGAGAGGAAACAGCCUUGUGUCUUCUGCACUGUGGGUGCUUAUGGCCUGUUUAGUAUCCUCCAGCCCCAAGAAUUAUUUAUUUGGGCUGGUCAGUGUGGUUCCACCAGAGCUUACUCUGUCUGAACCAAUUUUGCCAUGGUGAAAUUAUUUUCCAGCACAGAUCAUAUCCAUUUUCUCUAUAUUGACAAGGAGCUGUCUGACUGCAAGAAAGUGAUCCCUGGACAGUGUAACAGUCAGUUGGGUGCCCCCAGGGGAAGAACCUGGAUUUCCUUUCCCCACCUCCCCUGUUCCUGUCUAUCUACCUAAUCUACCAUUGUUCCAUCAUGGACUCAGAACUCUGAAAUCCUUCAGAUUUGGGGCAUCAGAUCACAUCUUCCGCUACUUCAUGCUAGAGAGGGGCAUGAAGUCUGAGUCCUUGCUAAGUGUCAAGGGGUUGGGAUAGGAGUGUUAGGGUUCCUUGCUUUACAGGAGGUGUUUGCUGGCAGGUGAGCACUGUAGAAUCUUUGCCCCACUUGAUCUGAUACAGAUGAUGAUGGCAGUGAGGCCUCAGGCACGAUAGUUAAUAGUCCCCAGCAAGCCUCAGGGACUUCUGCAGGUUGAUGGCCUGUAGGUGGAAAGAGAUAAACUUAGUGAGGAGGUUUAGCAAACAGGAAUCAAACCAGAGAAGUGGGAUUGAGGUUAAUAGUGCUAGUAAGAACCACAACCGAGUCUCCUUACAAGAGAACCCGCCCUAGGCUGCUUUCUCCCUUAAUUAUGAUGCCUGCCUGGAAGGUUAGUGUGCGAAUGUUAUCCCAAUCUGUCCUGACUUGUUGCUUCAAAAACAGCACUCCUGUUGGAGCAGUAUGCAGACUCACCCCUGUGCAGCAGUGAUCAUAGCCAAGUCUUACCUGUCUGUAGGACCUCAGCAGCCAGGGAGUUGAUCUGUUGCUGUAAGUCAGUAAGGGCCUCAACCAUGGUAACUAGGCUGACAGCACACUCAGGACUAGCCAGUGUACAGAAAUGGUCUGUCAUACACUAUUUCAAAAGGGGUCAAAUGGAGAUGAGCCUUUGGAGCCACUUGGAGUGUGAGAAGAGGUAUGGGGCUUACCCAUGGUACUGUUGUGAUCUGGAAGAUACAAAUUUUACUUGAAGAUUAAGUAUAG
rnacentral:lncRNA from 1 species